GGGUCGGUGGCGUAGUUGGUUAUCGCAUCUGUCUAACACUAUGUGUUUGGGCGCACAGAAGGUCCUCAGUUCGAUCCUGGGCCGACUCA
rnacentral:tRNA from 1 species